UGGGGCGGUGGCUGGACCCUCCUUACCAAAGCCUGAUGUAGGUUAUGUGCAGUGUCCACCACAUUGUGUGAUGAAAAUAAUAAGGAGAAAUCCCUUAUGAUGCUUGUAGGUGUGGUGGUUUCAUGCUGCCGCUGAUGAAGGUGAGGUGGGGGGUUCUCGUAUUCUCAGGCCUACCAAAUUCUUUCCCAUGCUGCGUUGACCUUUCACUCGCAUACUAGAGUAUGCAAUCCCAUUCCGCACCUUGCCUGGAAACUAAUUAACUCUUUGAUUACCGGUACUCUUAAAGCUGCUUUUGUCACUCUGGGGCUAUAACUCAGCUGGAAGAGCGCCUGCUUUGCUCAAAUGAGGUCCGCUGUGCGAUCCCGCAUAGCUCCACCAUAUAAUGACUUCAGAUUGUAUUGUCAACAAUAUGCUGUGAAGAAUUAUGCUCUUUAACAAUCUGGAACAAGCUGAAAUUUGAAACGAUGCGGCUAAACAUAUCUCUCCUGGCAGUACUGAAAUGUGAUUUGGCUGUAUCAGAGUCUCUCAAAUAAUCGCAGCGCGAAAGUGACUUGAUGUAUCAAAGACACCUUCGGGUUGUGAGGUUAAGCGACUAAGCGUACACGGUGGAGGCCUUGGCA
rnacentral:misc_RNA from 1 species